CCUGGCACAAUACUGACGCUCAGGUGCGAAAGCGUGGGGAGCAAACAGGUAUUAGAUACCCUGGUAGUCCACGCCGUAAACGAUGUCUACUAGCUGUUCGUGGUCUUGUACUGUGAGUAGCGCAGCUAACGCACUAAGUAGACCGCCUGGGGAGUACGGUCGCAAGAUUAAAACUCAAAUGAAUUGACGGGGGCCCGCACAAGCGGUGGAGCAUGUGGUUUAAUUCGACGCAACGCGAAGAACCUUACCUACUCUUGACAUCUAGCGAAGAUUGCAGAGAUGCAGUUGUGCCUUCGGGAACGCUAAGACAGGUGCUGCAUGGCUGUCGUCAGCUCGUGUUGUGAAAUGUUGGGUUAAGUCCCGCAACGAGCGCAACCCUUAUCCUUAGUUGCCAGCACGUAAUGGUGGGAACUCUAGGGAGACUGCCGGUGAUAAACCGGAGGAAGGUGGGGACGACGUCAAGUCAUCAUGGCCCCUUACGAGUAGGGCUACACACGUGCUACAAUGGUACGUACAGAGGGAGGCAAGCUGGCGACAGUGAGCGG
rnacentral:rRNA from 1 species